rnacentral:rRNA from 1 species
UGGGGAAUAUUGCGCAAUGGGGGGAACCCUGACGCAGCCAUGCCGCGUGAAUGAAGAAGGCCUUAGGGUUGUAAAGUCCCUUCGGUAUUGAGGAAGGUUGAUGUGUUAAUAGCACAUCAAAUUGACGUUAAAUACAGAAGAAGCACCGGCUAACUCCGUGCCAGCAGCCGCGGUAAUACGGAGGGUGCGAGCGUUAAUCGGAAUAACUGGGCGUAAAGGGCACGCAGGCGGUUAUUUAAGUGAGGUGUGAAAGCCCUGGGCUUAACCUAGGAAUUGCAUUUCAGACUGGGUAACUAGAGUACUUUAGGGAGGGGUAGAAUUCCACGUGUGGCGGUGAAAUGCGUAGAGAUGUGGAGGAAUACCGAAGGCGAAGGCAGCCCCUUGGGAAUGUACUGACGCUCAUGUGCGAAAGCGUGGGGAGCAAACAGGAUUAGAUACCCUGGUAGUCCACGCUGUAAACGCUGUCGAUUUGGGGGUUGGGGUUUAACUCUGGCGCCCGUAGCUAACGUGAUAAAUCGACCGCCUGGGGAGUACGGCCGCAAGGUUA